GUUCAUGUAGCUUAUAUAAAAGCAAGGCACUGAAAAUGCCUAGAAGA
rnacentral:tRNA from 1 species